CCACCUCUUCACCUAUUUUACAUUUACAUGCUCAUUUGAUCUAAUGCUAUCCUUAUGUUGCGAUUCUGUUGUGUCACGUGUCCUAUCCACCUGUUACCUAUAUGUCCGAGAUACACCUUCUCGCCCUACCUAUUGUUUGUUGUUUGCCAGCUUUGCGAGUCGUAGGCGAGUUUAGGGUUUUUGUUGAUAUCUCGAAUUGUUCGGGAUAUCUUGUUGGGAUGUUGACACAUGUACUACUUUUUCGAAAAUGAAGUGGAUAACUUUUGCUACAAAUAAAAUUGCUAAGGGAUAUAAUAUGCAGAGGCAUCUGUGAGCCCCUUUGCGAAAGCAUCGGAACUUUGACUUGCUAAUGUCCCCUAGGACCCGAGUUCUUGUUAUCUGUUUCUAAGACUGAGCGCGCUAACCACACGUGGGAGGUUUUAUCGGGACCCCCCAUCACCCAUUACCUUUUCUCAAGUCUGUUGAAAAGGGGGCCACAACCUUGGUUUUAUUUGGUGCACGCAUAUUUAUUACUGUUGCCUUCGGGUGUUUACUUCCUGUUGCCUUCGGGUGGUUUAUUUAUGUACUGCACUGCAUAAUUGCUAGACGACUUAUCUAGUGCUUGGCCGUUAGUGCCCGCCUAGAUGCCUACGCAACCUCUGGGUCCGUCUCGGAGUACGGCCGAACUUCGUCACGGGUAGCUUAGUUGGGUGGCCCCCCUAGGCAUUCUUGCAGAUCUGGGAACGGUCUUGUUGUGAGACUCCGCACUUGACUAUGUUGGUUCGAGCAUGCGUGUAUGGUAACAUUGGUGCACCCCUGCAGGGUAAAUCUUAUCGAUAAGCCGUGUCCGCGGUUAUGGACGACUUGGAACUGUUUAACUCGAUCAUAGAACAACUUACACCUAAUGUUGUCGCUAAUAACUUGUUAAUUAUUUGCGUAGUAAGUUAGCCCUAUUAUAAUGGAAUGGAUAUAAAAUUGUCAACUGUGUGAGUGCCUUGUUAGUACCUCUUGGCUAAGGGGGAUCGCACUGGCAGGGUUGUUGUUUGCAGAGUAUAGAACUGCUAGAAUAUGCGCUCUCUCACCUUCUCUAUUAGAUGGAUGUUGUAGCGUGUCUCUAUUGGUUAGUGCUUUGCUGCCGCUAAACUCCACCAUAUAGCCGGGCGAAGUUUACACCGCCCACCAGCAAGCAUAGCUGGUCUUGUCUCGCAAGUACGUGCCAAUGGUACUUUACCUCGUUUUUUUCUCCCUCUUUUUCCGGAACCCGUUUUUCGACAAACAGUACGACAGAUGAUGAUCAGUAUGCAGGAGGCUACUUUGUCGAGUUCACGGACGACGACUUCGUUGCGUAGCAGGAUCGUUCCUAAGGCAGCAGCCUGUGGCUUGUUGGUUAUGGGAACACCGCUUGAUUAUCCUCAGGACUCUUAGUCCAAUUUGGAUCUUGUCUGUACCCAGACUAUUUGGCUAUCUUAUGUAUGAUGUAAUGUUGGGAUAUGUUUCCCCGUUGAGUGUCAUUUGGAUCUUGCUCAUUAGAGCGUUGCUAUAUAUAUGAGCCUUAUUUCCA